UUUUUGCAGAAAACCUCAGAAAAUUUUAGUAUAACCCUAUCACAGAAAAAUGGUUCACUGGUUACUGUUAUGGUCAGUUGUUAUUUUAAAACAUGUAAAGAAGGUAUUACAGAGAAAUACAGAAUAAUUUAUGAUUUUGAGAAUACCCAAGAAUUGCUGGGAAUUCCAAUUUCUUGUUCCGGAAUCCUGAAGAUUAUUGUCUCUCAAGAAUUUGCAGACACGGUACAGUCCCUGGCACGAGCAGACACUCAGCGUAUAUUUAGAAAGAAGGGAUGUUAUUUUGUUGUUUGAUGGUCCCAGCUGUCCUAUGAAGUAGAAGUGAAUGUGCCAUUUUACACGUGAGAAUCCUGGCUCUCCUUUGAGACUGACGGGGGACAACAUCCUUAAGAUUCUUAAAAGCUGCAUUGUUCGCUGAGAUGGCCUGUGCGCCACCCCUCAGGACUCCUGGAAGUACUGAUAGUGCCUUUGCUCGUCUUCACCUGCUCUGUGGCCCAGGAGACUGCUGGUUGAGUUCAGCCACCAGAUGACGCCAGCUGAAGGUCAGUGGGGGUGGUGGUGAAUGAAGUCACAGUGUUCAUUCCUCCAGCUCCCUCCCAGAAAAUGGUCUGAAGGAGGAACUCAGGAAAAGGAUUCUAGAGGAAAGGCCUCCCAGACCACAGCAACCGUGACUAGAAGAAGUCCCGGUCAUAAAGACGCCAAACGUCCAAGGAGGGGCCGGGCUG